UCCAAAUGAGCUCCUUGAGAGCGCUGCUGCUUCUUUCUUUGCUUGGCACCAAGGUGCCAUUUGUUCCCUUAGCAAAAGCAUCGCCAUUAGAAGCCUCCUUGGAAGCCAGUGGGGUGACUUGCAGUGGAAGGCAGGGAGCUGCUGGCUCUGGUUGCUGUUAUUUUUCCGGGGUGGCCGUUACUAUGGCAAGGAAACUCAAUUCGGUGUGAGGAGAGGUCAGAAAUACCAGGCUGAGCAUUUUGUGCAUGUUCUGUUGGAAAUCUCAGCUGCUGGAGCCCGAGUGAUGAGAAGCAAAGGCAGCAGCACCGGGGUCACCGGGUUUUCUCAUGGGCUUCUAUGAAAUCUGCAGUCAUUUGGGAAAGCCUGACCCCAUAGGGCCUCUCCUCACUGCAGUUAUGUUUAUCUGACAAAGCAAUGGGUGCUCACGCUGUGAUGUGUGUGUGCUGCAGGGAGGAAAAGCAGCUCCCUCCCAUUGCGCUGAUUAACAGUGAGGGGUGGGUGCUGCUCUGCGCCUGAAACUUUUUGCCACUGUCUUUAUUUGGGAUGUGCUGCAUCCAAGAGGAAACAGCCCCAAGGAAAUGAUUGCUGCCCUUCCUCUCCUAUCUCUCUUUUCUUUUUUGGCCAUUUUUUCCACCUCUUGACAAAAAAAAAAAAUAACCUAUCCUUGCAGGUGGGGAUGCUCUGUGGGGUCUCCUCUGUGUCCCCACAGCAGAACCCUUCCCUAGGACGCCAUGGUUCCCCCACGCUGAGCCCUAUCCUCGCUGCUGUGCUGUGCUGUGUCACCUCUCCCUGCUCCUUCUUUCACAGUGCCGACAGAUCCGAGCUGGAGCUGCUGACUCCCGCGUGGAGCUGUGAUUCCUUCCUGGGGUUUGUGCUAUUUCCAGCUCCUGUUGCCCCCAUUCCUGUGACGCCCAUCCCUGUGUGCUGGGAGCAAACCCUGGUUGGGAGCACGCUGCGCUCUGCUCCGUUUGCAGCCGCUUUUCCCACGCUAUAGGACGGCCCAGGGCAUAUCUUGCAUGGCACCAACGCUCAGCUCUGCGUGAGCUGCUGAGGCAGACGUGGAUCUGCAGGAUGAGCAGAGCUGCAGGCAGAGGUACUGCUGGCAUCAGGGGGUGGCUGCGGUGGGUUUGGGGUUUGCACUGCUGUGAGCGCUGCGCUUUGCAUUCC
rnacentral:lncRNA from 1 species